AGGAAACAAAGAGGGAAGAAAAAGUCUCUUGCCUCUUCAGCAGGUGCAGCCUUUUCCCGGACUCCCUCCCGGCUAGCUGUGGCGCACUAACCCCCUGCAGGCUGUGUUCACGCCGCCAACACCAGUCCUCUCCCUGCGCUCCGACCAAACCCCAAGCCUCAGCUCCCAGCCCUGCCCGACACGGCGAGUGAGCCAACAAGCCUCUCAGGCUGAUUUCUCUCCCUUUACACAAGAGGGCGCUGGAGCCCAAGGUACUGCACUCUUGGCUUGGAGAAGAGGAUCCAGGGAAAGGCGGAAAAGCCGUCUGGCUGUGUUCCAGUUGAUGGCACUAGCUCUGCCAGCUGGAGGUUCAGAGAUUGGAAAAUCAGGAUCCAGGUCAUUCAGCAUUAAUGAUGGUACUGGGAAUACUUCUGUCUCUGAAGUCCUGGGCUUCCUUCAAUGAGCUCAUACUGCCUGAGUGGUGUGAUGUGAAUGACCUCCCAAAAGAGAGUGCUGUGAAUAUAUGAUGAACAUAGCUGCCAGAGCUAUUUUGCUAUUACAGGAGUGCCCAGAGCAGUUGGGACACCAACAUUUAGAGGCUGAAGAUGAUGCCAACACCAGGUGUUUCAAGUUUGACUGUCCUUGGACUCAUGUACCUAAACUCCAAUCUCUCCCUUUUCCACAUCAAAACUGAGCAAUCCUGAGUGAGCUUCAAUUACUCAAGAUCCUUCUAAAAGAUUGAAGAAGAUUAAGAGAGAAUGAAUAUUUGGAGGGAAGAUCAUCAAAUCCCCAGUUUUGGGCUGGUUAAAUCAGAGAUACGUAUAAAACAUCUAAAUGGAGAAGCUCUGAAAUGGUGGUUCUGUCCAUGAACGUGGUAAUACUUGUUGAGGACUGAUACCGUGGAAUGGCCAUCAUAUCAGAUGCCAGGCACUACGCUAGAAGACUUCACCUGCUCACAAUGACCCUAAAAAGAGAAAGCUGUCUUGAUAGAAUUGCCUACCCAGCACCACACCAACAGAGCCCACUGAGACAGCCAAGCACCUUGGCCAAAUCCUAGGCUUUGCAGCCUGAAGACCUUGGGUCUUCAUCUGAGCUAGUGACAGAGACAUUGCUGAUAAUCUUUUUAUGAUGAGGAAACUGGGACUCAGAAAGGAGCUUGAAGUGACUGAGCAGGCAUUUGGGAUCCUGGCUCCAUCACAACCACACAGUGUAACACGCAGCACGUUGAAUGUGUCUGGUGCCCUGUUCUCCAGACAGAGAGCCACUUCCUUAUGAACUGAAGCUUUGUGACGGGGAAUGCUAAAGCAGGGAGCAGAAGUGAGGGCUGUGAGAAGUCUCAAAUGACCAGGCCCCCCUGAGGACUCCUGAAUUCUACCUUCUAAGUGGAUAUGUGUGAUUGUGACUUACGUUUUUGACUUGGGCAUUGGUUUUAUUAAAAUAG